GACUAUGGCGGGCGGAGCGUGGAGGCCUUGUGCCUGCCGGCUCACUGUCCCGGUUUUCGAGCCACGUCUCCGCCCGCCACCUCU
rnacentral:antisense_RNA from 2 species